rnacentral:rRNA from 1 species
UGGGGAAUAUUGGACAAUGGGCGCAAGCCUGAUCCAGCCAUGCCGCGUGAGUGAUGAAGGCCCUAGGGUUGUAAAGCUCUUUCACCGGUGAAGAUAAUGACGGUAACCGGAGAAGAAGCCCCGGCUAACUUCGUGCCAGCAGCCGCGGUAAUACGAAGGGGGCUAGCGUUGUUCGGAUUUACUGGGCGUAAAGCGCACGUAGGCGGACUAUUAAGUCAGGGGUGAAAUCCCGGGGCUCAACCCCGGAACUGCCUUUGAUACUGGUAGUCUUGAGUUCGAGAGAGGUGAGUGGAAUUCCGAGUGUAGAGGUGAAAUUCGUAGAUAUUCGGAGGAACACCAGUGGCGAAGGCGGCUCACUGGCUCGAUACUGACGCUGAGGUGCGAAAGUGUGGGGAGCAAACAGG